rnacentral:lncRNA from 1 species
ACGCACUUGCCACAAGGAGACGCUGUUCAGUUUACCGGAUCCUGUCCCGCGCCAGCCAACCAGGACAAGGCCGGGGAGCUCGAGACAGGCAGCCUAGACCAAGAACCGGAAGGAGGAAAAGGAACCGGAGGGAGGAAGAGGAGGGGCGGGACGAGACCACCAGGCAAGAGUCCAAACUUUCCCGCGGCGACCUAACUGCACCUCCAGUGUCUUCCCCCAGAGGGCACAGAAGCAGCAAGAAGGGCGGGAACACUUGACUGGGGUCCAUGCAGCUCUAGGCUGAGUCUUGCAGGGCUGAGCCCCCCAGGCCUGCUCUCCUGUGUCCUGGCCGCUCCGUCAGUGCCUGCCAGUGGGGUCCAGAGGGACCGUUUUUUUAACGCCUCUUUUGCAGUCUCCCGCAUUGACUUCAUAACCAAGUUCUGGGUCCCUGCCUCUGGAGUGCCUGAUGAGACAAAACGGCUCCUCGUCCUGCAUCCCCGCUGCUACUUCCAGAAUUCAGGCCUCGUGGUCUGGAGCCUGCACUGUUCCAUGAGCCUCCUGAGCAACCUGGAGUCCUCUGUCUUUCUUCCCUCAGUGAGAUGCGCCUACUUCUCCCUGGAGAAGCUUGAGGAAGCAGAAAUGCUGGAGAUGAGCUGCUCCUCACUCUCACUCCUGGGUGUGCUGGGCAGUGGGGUGCAAUGUGCACGUAGGUGCACACUCUCCCUGGGCGGCAGCGAGCAGCAGAGGUCUGAUCUGUGGUCGGAUGACGAGAGGAAGUGCAAGUAAAGCAGCUGCAGCGAGACCUCGUCCGCACAGGGGCUUGUUCUUCUGUGUCUUUGCAGGGCUGUUUUGGACUCAGUAUUCACCUAAGCACUCCAAAUUGGUCGUGCGGAUGUGCGAUGUAGGAGGAGGAGAGAGGUAAAGUGGAGGAAUAGGAGCUGGAGGGGAGGAGGAGAGAAGAAAAGAGGAGAAGGAGGGGGAAGAGAGGGAGCGGGUUCAAGGAGGGAAGGAGGAGGAGAAGGAGAGGAGGAGGAGAUGAGACCAAGGAGAAGAGGUGAAGGAGGAGAGGAGGACACAGAAAAGAGAAGAAAGAGGAGAGGAGACGGAGAAGAGGAGGAGGAGUAACAAAGGAGGAAGAAGAGGAAGAGGACUAGAAGAGCAAGUUCCAGUUCUCGGUGCGCCCCGUUCUGCAAGACACUCUCCUGUGGUCAGCCCUGGUCUGCAGAGGAUUCCCGCGCUGGAUCUCUGAAGGAUGCUGGCGCCCUCUCUGCAGCACAUUCCUGAUGCCCUUGCUGACACGUGUCCUCUGGGCCCUCUCCUGAAACCUGAUUCUCCGGGGUGUCUUCUGGCCUCACCUCUUCUGUCCAGUUCCAGCAAGCUCACUUUGCUUAGCCUUUGAAUCCCUUCCUUCACUGUCUGCCAUGACAGUUCAGGCCUUUCACCGUCACUCAGGCCUGGACCAUCACUGUUGCCCAUCCCAUGCCAUCAACAGGUUUGCCCCAUCCCUUCGGCUCCCUACCAGGGCAUUCAGUUGUGUUGAGCAGCAGAGUGUCUCCAAGUCCCCACUGGUUGAGCUGCAUCCGGGUCCCAUCCCACAGGGACCCCCUGGCCGCUGCAGAUGCAUGCUGAUCCUGCAGCUCCUCGAGGGUGUCAUCGCUUUCCCCCUUCCCAGACCCAGCACACCCUGCCUGCAUGGCGCUGCGCUGCACCUUCACUCUGGUCACGGGUCUGGCAGUCAGCUCACCAAUUCCUCCUGCUUCCCUGGGACUUGCCGGCUUUUAGCACUGCAAUUCACUCAGCAAACUGGGACUGUUGGUCACCCUACCUGGCAGCCAGUGAUAAGGUGAGGGCCACUCCUGGGAGGGAGGACACCUGUGGGGAAAAUUCUUGUGUUAUUUAUUUCUCCUUCGGGAUAGGGUGCCUGCAGCGCUUCAUGGGAGGGGGUGGGCUGAUGCUGCGGGCUCAGAAGUUUCAAGGGCAUCUGGGGAGACCAGAUAUUCAGAGACCUUCUAGAUGUGCCUGUUCCAUGUAUCAGGGACGCAGGUUUUCCCAACAGGGCUGGUGUCAUUGGCAUGACAGACCUGCCUUGGCUGAGCGUUCACCUGUCUUUGGAGUUCAGCCACCUUAGCAAGUCCUGGGUUUGUUCUUCAGACUUUGCUGCUCGCCCAUUGCCUGGAUCGGGGGCUACUUUGUAAACCACCAGGAAGACUCCAGUGUUUCUGGUUAAUUUUUAGAUGUUUGUUAAUUGCUCUUGGUCUCUCAUUAAUCCCCUGUGGGUCAUCCAGGAAACAUACUCACCACUGUCUGUUCUCUGAGUUUUCAUUUCCAGGCAUCCGCCCUGCCUGGAUCUCCUCACCUGCCAGGAACUUCCUCUCCACAAGCCGGCCAUCCCAGCAAAAGUUCUAACACCAAAGGUCUGGCAACUAGCCUGCCAUCUUGUGCCUGGAGCCGCCUGCGUGCCACCUACUCCCGAAGAUGGGAACCUUGUUGCCAGUUGGGCAGAUGCGGGGCAAUCCUGUACCAAGACCCCAUUUUACCACCUGCUUUCUCAGACCACUCUGGAACCCACUGUCUCAGAUUGUGUCCUCCAGGAAGCAGACCAUGAGAGGGAGUUGGCAGGGCCAAAGAUUUACUGGGGCUAACUAACACUCAGGAAAGGGAUAGGAAGGAAACAGGGCUGGAGAGCAGGUUGAGCCCGACCUGACAGUCUCGAGCAGCCCAACAGGGAGGUGUGGAGCAAGGGUUGCCCACUAGAGGGGCCUGCAUUGGGUACGGGUGAUGGGGUCCACAUGGUACCUGGCAUAUAGCAGGCUGUGCAAUCCAUAUUAACUGACUGGAUAAAUUAAUGCCCAGAAAAGGUGCCCUGGAGAAUGGGUGUGUGCUGAACACAAUAGGGAAGGGCCCAGCAUCUGCCUUGGCAUAGGCAGAACUGUGCUGUGCCCUGCAACAGGCCACCUGAGAGCUGCUUUGAUCUUGUGUGUACAUUAGAUGACUGCCAGGGGCAUGAAGGGGAUGUGCUUCCAGGGCAUUUGCUGGCAGGGCGUCUCGUGAUCUCUUGGUAUUGGUGUGAGCACAGCCUGGCAGGAGAGGGCAGAUCUCCAUGCAAAGUAUGUCAGAAAGCAGAUGGAAGCCAGGCCCCCUCCUGAAAGAGGCUCCUUGAAGGUAGGUGCACACUCAUGUCUUUGUUACUUGUAAGGGGGCAUCUUACAGGCAAGAGGAGUUAGGUGAAUGUGAAGAGGAAGGAACUACUCUGGGCAGGGGGCUGGGGGACGCUUCGUAGAGGAGGGGGUGUUUGAGCUGGGCCUUGAAGGUCAAAAGGGUUUUGUUAGGUGGGAAAUGGGGGAAGGACAGUCUGAAAGGGUUAGGUACAUUCAAGGAGCCCAGAGAAGGUUCGUGGCUGGAGCAGACGCAUUCGUAGAGUGAAGUCAUGGGAGAGAAGAGGCUGGGAAACUAGAUUGGUUCCAACUCCUAAAGGACCACUGAAGGAGUGUGGGCUGCACGCUGGGUGCAGCAGGUGAGUUUCCUCACUUGGGUUUCACUGUCAGCAUUUUAAAAAGGCAAACUGGUUUUCUUCCUGAGAAGAAUUCAUUGAUUCACUUGUGGCCAGUAAGUCAUCUGGGCCAGAGGUUGGUGGGGAGAUGAUAGGGGUGCAAGUGUCAUCUUCAAUCACAGCAUAACUGCCCUUGCUUUCUUACCUCUCGUUUAGAUAUUUCAAUGCUUGCUCAGGUCCCCUGCGCCCUCCUUCCUUCUCCCUUCCCAGCCAUACUACUUAUGGGAUGACUUUCUCUUUGUAAAAUGACCGUUAGUCUUAUCAAAUUAAUCCCAAAGUAAUACCAUCAAUUUCCCCCUAAAAUACCAACAAGACCCCUGCUUGAAACUGCUUGUACAUUAGAGACAGAGAAGAGUCCAUGAGAAUCAACAUUUUCUGAGGACUCCAACUGUGUGCCAAGAGAGUUCCCCUGCUGGUGCCUCCUCUGUAGUAAAGGAAAGGCUCCUGGGACCACAUUAUCAUUCUCUUCACUCGAGAGAUGAGGACACUGAAAUUCAGAGAGGGGAAGUGAUUUGCCUCAGCUUGUACUGGUUUCACUUUGUCACUCAGGCUGGAGUGCAGUGAUGUGAUCAUAGCUUUCUGCAGCCUUGACUUCCGGGCUCAAGUGAUCCUCCCACCUCCGCCUCCUUAGUAGCUAGGACCACAGGCAUGCACCAGCACACCCAGCAAAUUAAAAAAAAAUUUUUUUUAAAGAUGAGAUCUCACUAUGUUGCCCAGGCUGGUCUGAAAUUCCUGUCCUCAAGCAAUCCUCCUGCCUUAGCCUCCCAAAGUGCUGAGAUUACAGGCAUGAGCUACCAUGCCUGGCCUAAAACAUUUUUAAUGGAAGUAUAAUUUGCAAACAGAAAACAUGCCCAAAUAUUAAGUGAAUGCACUGAUGAACAUUCACAACUUAACAAGAUAGCCAGCACUUAAAUCACAAAAUAGAACACCGCUAGGACCUCUUUGUAAUACCCUCCAAGUCACUACUUCUGCCCAAAGGUAAUCGCUAUUUUGCAACAUUUUUUAUUACUUUAUAUAAAUGAGAUCGUACACUGCGUAAUCUUAUUACUGUCUGGAUUUUUAUAUUAAAUAUUGCUUGUGAGAUUCAUCCAUGUUGUCAUGUCAGCAAUACUUUAUUCUCAUUGCCAUAUACUAUUCCAUUUUUAUCAGUAUACCAUGAUAUAUUUACCCAUUCUGCUAUUUGUACAUACUGGAAUUGUUCCCAGGUUUUUGUAAUACAAGCAAAGCUGCUA